rnacentral:rRNA from 1 species
UGAGGGAUAUUGCACAAUGGGCGCAAGCCUGAUGCAGCGACGCCGCGUGGGUGAUGACGGUUUUCGGAUUGUAAAACCCUUUUCUAGGUGACGAGCAAGGACGGUAGCCUAGGAAUAAGUGUCGGCUAACUACGUGCCAGCAGCCGCGGUAAAACGUAGGACACGAGCGUUAUCCGGAGUUACUGGGCGUAAAGGGCGUGCAGGCGGUCGAAUAAGUCUGAUGUGAAAGCUCCCGGCUCAACCGGGAGAGGACAUUGGAGACUGCUCGACUAGAGGCAGAUAGAGGGGUGUAGAAUUCCGGGUGUAGUGGUGAAAUGCGUAGAGAUCCGGAGGAAUACCAGAGGCGAAGGCGGCACCCUGGGUCUGACCUGACGCUGAGACGCGACAGCAUGGGGAGCGAACGGG